rnacentral:rRNA from 1 species
GUAAGGAAUAUUGGUCAAUGGGCGGGAGCCUGAACCAGCCAAGUCGCGUGAAGGAAGAAGGAUCUAUGGUUCGUAAACUUCUUUUGCAGGGGAAUAAAGUGCGGGACGUGUCCUGUUUUGUAUGUACCCUGAGAAUAAGGAUCGGCUAACUCCGUGCCAGCAGCCGCGGUAAUACGGAGGAUCCGAGCGUUAUCCGGAUUUAUUGGGUUUAAAGGGUGCGUAGGUGGUUUGAUAAGUCAGCGGUGAAAGUUUGCAGCUUAACUGUAAAAAUGCCGUUGAAACUGUCGGACUUGAGUGUAAAUGAGGUAGGCGGAAUGCGUGGUGUAGCGGUGAAAUGCAUAGAUAUCACGCAGAACUCCGAUUGCGAAGGCAGCUUACUAAGCUACAACUGACACUGAAGCACGAAAGCGUGGGGAUCAAACAGGAUUAGAAACCCUUGUAGUC